CUUAUCUAACCUAUCAUUCUUGCCUUGAAUCAAGAAGAAAACUCAAAGAUUUCUCCUUCAUCUCUUGAGAAUGAGCUUUCCUUAGGGUUUUUGAGAAGUUUUGAGGAGGUGAAGCUUCAAGCAAAGGAAAAGAGAUUAUAGACAAGUAACUUGGGAGGGUGUUAGCUCGCCAAUUUUGUGAUUGCACAGCAGCGGGAUAGAAGCGUGAAGUGCUUGGCAGAGUAGUUUGUAUUAUUUAAGCUGUGUAUGAUAUUUAAGCAUUUUAGCAUGUAUUAGCAAGAUCCACUAGUAUGUUAUCACUCCAUAUUUUGUUAUACUUUCCUUGGACAUUCGUAUAUGUGUGAAUUUGGACUAUAUAAUGUAUGACAGUCAUACUCAGUGUUCGGGGGAUGGUGUCCUUAUGUUAUGACCUUA